rnacentral:rRNA from 1 species
UACAGAGGGGGCAAGCGUUAUUCGGAAUUAUUGGGCGUAAAGGGCGCGUAGGCGGCCUGGCAAGUGGAAGGUGAAAUCCCUCGGCUUAACCGAGGAACUGCCCUCCAAACUGCUUGGCUUGAGUCCGGGAGAGGUGAGUGGAAUUCCCAGUGUAGCGGUGAAAUGCGUAGAUAUUGGGAGGAACACCAGUGGCGAAGGCGGCUCACUGGACCGGAACUGACGCUGAGGCGCGAAAGCACGGGGAGCAAACAGG